rnacentral:rRNA from 1 species
GUCGAGAAUUUUUGACAAUGGGGGAAACCCUGAUCGAGCGACGCCGCGUGGAGGAUGAAGGUCUUCGGGUUGUAAACUCCUGUCAUUUGGGAACAAGGCGCACGUAUUAACUGUACGUGCGUUGAUAGUACCAGAAGAGGAAGAGACGGCUAACUCUGUGCCAGCAGCCGCGGUAAUACAGCGGUCUCAAGCGUUGUUCGGAUUCAUUGGGCGUAAAGGGUGUGUAGGUGGCGCCGUAAGUCGGGUGUGAAAUUUCGGAGCUUAACUCCGAAACUGCAUUCGAUACUGCGGUGCUUGAGGACUGGAGAGGAGACUGGAAUUUACGGUGUAGCAGUGAAAUGCGUAGAUAUCGUAAGGAAGACCAGUGGCGAAGGCGGGUCUCUGGACAGUUCCUGACACUGAGACACGAAGGCCAGGGGAGCAAAC